rnacentral:rRNA from 1 species
CCUACGGGAGGCAGCAGUGGGGAAUAUUGGACAAUGGGCGAAAGCCUGAUCCAGCAAUUCCGCGUGUGUGAAGAAGGCCUUCGGGUUGUAAAGCACUUUAGUGGGGGAAGAAACAGCUUGGCCACACCAAGCCUUGACGGUACCCCAAGAAUAAGCACCGGCUAACUCUGUGCCAGCAGCCGCGGUAAUACAGAGGGUGCAAGCGUUAAUCGGAUUUACUGGGCGUAAAGGGUGCGUAGGUGGCUAUUUAAGUCGGAUGUGAAAGCCCGGGGCUCAACCUCGGAAUUGCAUUCGAUACUGAGUGGCUGGAGUUCGGUAGAGGGCGGCGGAAUUUCCGGUGUAGCGGUGAAAUGCGUAGAUAUCGGAAGGAACAUCAAUGGCGAAGGCAGCCGCCUGGGCCUGGACUGACACUGAGGCACGAAAGCGUGGGUAGCAAACAGGAUUAGAUACCCUGGUAGUCCACGCCGUAAACGAUGAGAACUUGACGUUGGUUCGUUUUACGAAUCGGUGUCGCNGCUACGACGAUAGUUACUCCGCCGUCGGGUAGGUACGGCCGCGAGGUUAGUAACGUACGAAAGGAAGUUAGACGGCGUGAGACGNGCCGACGACGACGACGAGGGAGGUAGG